rnacentral:rRNA from 1 species
GACGAGCGCUGGCGGCGUGCUUAACACAUGCAAGUCGAACGGUGAAGCGCCUUCCUUUUUGGUGGGUGUGGAUGAGUGGCAAACGGGUGAGUAACACGUGAGUAACCUGCCCCCUUCUUCUGGAUAACCGCAUGAAAGUGUGGCUAAUACGGGAUAUUCUGGGUCUGUCGCAUGAUGGGUCUGGGAAAGAUAUUGUUUCGGUGGGGGAUGGGCUCGCGGCCUAUCAGCUUGUUGGUGGGGUGAUGGCCUACCAAGGCGGUGACGGGUAGCCGGCCUGAGAGGGUGGACGGUCACACUGGGACUGAGACACGGCCCAGACUCCUACGGGAGGCAGCAGUGGGGAAUAUUGCACAAUGGGCGCAAGCCUGAUGCAGCGACGCCGCGUGAGGGAUGGAGGCCUUCGGGUUGUGAACCUCUUUCGCCAGUGAAGUAGGCCUGCCUCGUUUGUGGGUGGGUUGACGGUAGCUGGAUAAGAAGCGCCGGCUAACUACGUG